rnacentral:rRNA from 1 species
GGGGGGGGGGUGCUAAUACAUGCAGUCGAGCGCGGGAAGCGAGUGGAUCCCUUCGGGGUGAAGCUCGUGGAACGAGCGGCGGACGGGUGAGUAACACGUGGGCAACCUGCCUGUAAGAUCGGAAUAACCCCGGGAAACCGGGGCUAAUGCCGGGUAAUACUUUCUUUCGCAUGAAGGAAAGUUGAAAGAUGGCUUCUUGCUAUCACUUACAGAUGGGCCCGCGGCGCAUUAGCUAGUUGGUGAGGUAACGGCUCACCAAGGCGACGAUGCGUAGCCGACCUGAGAGGGUGAUCGGCCACACUGGGACUGAGACACGGCCCAGACUCCUACGGGAGGCAGCAGUAGGGAAUCUUCCGCAAUGGACGAAAGUCUGACGGAGCAACGCCGCGUGAACGAUGAAGGUCUUCGGAUCGUAAAGUUCUGUUGUUAGGGAAGAACAAGUACCGUGCGAAUAGAGCGGUACCUUGACGGUACCUAACGAGGAAGCCCCGGCUAACUACGUGCCAGCAGCCGCGGUAAU